GUUACAUCCUUCAUAUUUUUUAUAUCUUUCUUCUGAAAAACAGAAAAGAUGCGAACUCCAUACGGUGGGAUGGUGUGUUUGUCAACACGAGUCCAUCCAAGAAAAUCAAAUAAAAGUUGAAUAAACGUGGCGCGCAUUCCCAUAACAACUCUAUACACUUCACUCUCCUACGCGCUCUUCCUACACACUCCAUCUUUUCAUCUUUCCUCUCACAAACAAACACAAGCUUUCAACUAUUCCAGAUUCCGUGCGCAAUGGCCACGCCCACACCGGAAGCCGUCGCAACCUUCAUGCGAAUCACCGGAGCACCGGAGUUCGUUGCUCUCCAGAAAUUAGAGGAAUAUGGCGGCAAUCUCAACGAAGCCGUGAAUGCACAUUUUAUCGAAGGACACAUGCACAUUCAGGACCAAAAUCUUGCUGCUGCUGCAACCCCACAAUAUAGUUACUCCGAAGCAAAUAAUCAAAACAACCAAAACCGCGGUGGGUCGCGUGGAAUUUGGCCUUUGUUCAAUGCUGCUAGAAGGUUUAGACUUUCACUACUACUUGACUCAAAUUAUAGGAGAGAACUUAGAGAUCUAUGUAAUGGGUUGGGUUCUACUACGUUUUCAAGUAGUGCACCACCACGUAGUUCCCCUCAAGGAGAGGCGGUGGAAGUUCCUACAGGUACCAAUAGUGCACUUGUGUCACCUUAUCAAUCGGGAUUGAGCUAUGCAGGUGCAGAUAUUAAUGGAAAUUUAUCAUCUCACGGUCGAGGAUAUUAUGGGGCAGAUGAUUAUCAGAAUAACUACCCUUUAGCUCAGUCAAAUGCUUCACGUGUUCAUGAUCAAGAUGCAGAGGAGGCAAUGAUUCAAGCUGCUAUAGAAGCCUCAAAGAAGGAGAGCAGAGAAGGUUCUUCACGGAAUGCUCCAAAUCAUUCAUCUGAUGAAGGGCUUCCUCAGAGUCAUUUUAACCGAGAAGAUGAUGAUGAUUUAGCUCGUGUCAUUUCAUUGUCAUUACAGACUGCAGAGCAAGAGGAGGCAAUACGCGAGCGUCAAGUGAAAGAGGAAAAGGAAGUUCGUGAUUUGUUAGCCGAGGGAGAGAAAACCAACUCUAGCAGAAGCAGAUUAGAGUGGGGUGGUAUUUCUUAUGAUGAGCUCAAUGAAGCAUUGCUGAUUGAAACUGCACUUUUUGGUGAAACUCCCAAUCAAAGUGCUCACAAAUUUUCAUCUUUGCCUGACCUGGAACGUCAUUCAGAUAAAAAUGCGGAUCCCAAGAUGCAGUGUUCAUCCAGUUCAGCAUCUCAAUUAUUAGCUGAGACUCGGUUGCUAAGACAACAACAGGAUGCUGACUAUAUAGCAUCACUACUAGUUGAUAAACAAAAAGAAUUGAAUUCUCUCAACAAAGCUGAAACCCAUUCCUCAAAGGAAGAAGAAUCACACAGACAGAUGCUUGAAAGAACGGAAUUGGAGAAAAUACUUGAUACAAAAAAUAUUAUGCUUUCAAAUGAACCACCGUUAGGUGAUGAAAAAGCAAUUACUAUUGUUGUUCGAAUGCCAGACGGUGGUCGUUGUGAACGUCGCUUCCUCAAAACUGACAAGCUUCAGCUUCUUUUUGAUUUCAUAGACAUUUAUGGAGCAGUGAAGCCUGGCACCUAUCGAGUUGUAAAGUCAUACCCGCGGCGAGCAUACAGUAUUAAUGAUAGCUCGGCUACUCUGACUGAAGUAGGCCUUAGCAACAAGAAUGAGGCUUUAUUUCUGGAGUUGAUUUAGUUUACCUAUUUUCCAUUAAGUAUCCUGGUCCUUCAUUAGAGCCCACAAAAUUAUCAGGAUCUCUUGCGAGUUAUUACAUCAGGGUAUGAAAGAAUUGGCUGUUGGUUAAAAAUGCUUGACCAUUCUUAUUUUCUAAUUUCUUUGUGCACCAUUCAUCACAAAAAUCGACUGAAUUGCCAAAUCAAAAGGUGGAGCAGCCAUGAACUGACUCAAUUGCUGAGCUGAAUAAAAAAACUGUUGACAGCCAGAAAACCAAGAAUUGAAAAUGGCUAAUGCUUAUUUUCAUUGAUAUAUCAUGAUGCAAAGGUAAGAAUGUGAAACCUCCAGGCCCAAGAAGCAUUUAAGAGCACCCAUUUUUGAUAAGGCUUAGCUAAACGCACAUCUUGACGAGGUUAGCUAAAUCAUACAAUAUUUGGUGUUAAAAAUCAGUGGAAAAUCCAGGGGAUGACAGCUUGUGUAUACAGAUGAGGUUUUACUGAAAUUCAGGUACAGACAACACAUAGUACAGUGAAAGAGUUUCUGAAAAUAUGACCGUACCAGAAAACUGAGCUAAAGGCACACAACCAUUAGAGAGAUGCAAACUUUCAGAAGUGUUUAUACUGAGAUAACUUGGAGAGAUAUUACAUACGUACAGUUAAUAUUUGGUGUUGAUUAAUUCAUGUUCAAUUAAUUUA